UUCCCACCUCCUCUGUUACGCCUGCCACCAUCUUCCUCCUUGUCCCUCUUUCUCGUUGCUGUGGUCUACUGUGGAGGCGUGGAGUGCUGAUCCUAGAUCCUAGCCACACUCUUUCCGAAGCAGUCCCCGUAUCCCCUCGCGCCAUUUCCGAAUCAUUUCGCCGAAUCUCGGCGUCUCCACCACAUUAACGCCAUGCAUCCACCGGAUCCGACCAUCGGCUUCUACGGCAAUGCGCGCUGAUGCGACCAUAACGGCCUCACGCUCCAUGGAUUCUUAUUUUGUUGCACGGCUUUUGUGGCGUCUGCUUGCCGUCCUGAAAUGCCUGCGCGGGCCGGGCGCACGGGAGGUGUUCGACAGAUUGGCCAAACGGGACAGCACGUUCGACGUGCCGCGAAUUUCCUCCGCGAGUCUGCAUCGACGACGAUCAGAAGGAAUCCUGUGGUUUGGGUGUCAAUCAUGGAUAACUGAGGGCUGCGACCCGUGUUCAGUGCGAUGCCUGACAGACAUCUGUUCGCGUUUCAGGAGGCUGUUGGCGUAAUGCUUGGCACAAGCUGGCAUUUCUGGAGCAUAUGUGAGGGAAGACUCACCAUGUUUGGAAGGGAUGCUGCUAGGAUGACGCCGCAGUUCCAUCUCCGCCGUAAAUAAGGUCACUGGUGUGAACCCACCAGCAGAAACUGAGCAGAAUGGCUGCAAUUGCUACAUAAGGCCAUGAAGCACCGUGCGGUAUCAUAGAGACCAAUGAAGAAGCUCGAUAGCGGGGAAUAAGCAAAUUGCACUGCUUCACUAUCUGUUAACUGUGGCAUGAAUCCAUCAAUUAGUUUUGUUUAGAGGUUUAUCCCAUUAUCUCCCCCAGGCUUGUAUGCAACUGAACAAGCAUUUGUCAGUUGUGGACUGGAAGUAGUGAAUUUUCACCCACCAGGUUUCAGCUGACCAUGCUGCAGUUUAUUUACAUCCAGGAGGCUGUUGGCGUAAAGCUUGGCAUAGGCUGGCAUUUGAGACAGAACGCAUCUGGGGACUGACUUGGUUUGUGUUUAACGAACUGCCCGGAUGGACUGCACAUGUGGUUCUCCGUGAAGUGCCUCUUGGAGGCUAUAUGCUUUAUGGAGUCUUGUGCAAGAUCAAUCAUUCUGGAUCUGCAGAUGGUAAUCCGAUGGCUUGCUGGUCUAUCCUAUGGUGGAUUGUGCACAGCUGCAUUCAGUAGAAUACCCGAGAUGGACUGCACAUGUGGUUCUCGGUGAAGAGCCUCUUGGUGGCUACGCUUUAUGGAGUCUUGUGCAAGAUCAAUCAUUCUGGAAGGCAUACCCGCUGGCAUGCUGAUCUAUCUCGCCGUGGAACAUGCAUGUCUGUGUCUCAGUAGAAUAUCUGAGGUACAUGCUACGAUGCCUGGUACUCCCUCCGUCCCGAAAUAAGUAUCUUUGAUUUAGUACAACUUUGUACUAAAUCAAAGGCACUUAUUUUGGGACGGAGGGAGUACUUGUCUGGCUUUACAAUUAUCUCAUGUCAUUCUGUCCAUCAUGGUUCAUGAGGCUGCUUGUACAAGCUUCUCUGCCUUCUUUUUAUUCUAUCGUUGGGAGUUGUUCUUAAAUACUUGCCAAGAAAAUUUGAGCAAACUAAAGGUCCUCAUCACUUGUCAUGUCAAGGAACAAAAUUGGAGCACAAAAUAAUGCAAGUUGUGUGUGGUGGAAAUUUCCAUUGUCGUAAGGAUGAGCGGUCUUUGUCCCAGUAGUACCUCCAGCUCUAUCGUGCAAUAAUGCAACUUGGAUACAUCAGGAUACAGAAGUGAACUCUAUGUUAACAUAUUUGUGGUAUAAGAUGGCAAACCCGGUCUAUAUGGCUUCUUAAAACAAGUGGUUAAAAAGAUACAUUUUCUGUGAGGAAAACAAAUGUGGCAAUAUUAGACUAACAGUGCGCUGACCCAAAUUAUGUAGAGAGAUAAAUACAGAACGGGUUGACACUUGAGAACCACUUCUAAUUUGAAAACUGCUAUUUAACGUAAGAGUACAAUUUUCCAGUUUCUAUGUUCUAGUUUGAUCAGUUAGAAUUUAUAUAGUAACUAGUGGCAAAUGGUUCUUGAUAUUACCAGAUUGCAUGUGAUUGUACCAGGAAAAUUUGGUAUGAUCAUUUCUUGCAUAAAGUUAUGGCUGAACAUAAAGAGAUCAUAACAAAGCUAGGUCAACAAAAAAAUGGGCAGACCUGUAAGUCAUGGCCAGAUUUUUCACAUGCCAGUUAUAAGAUUGAAAACUGAAGUAUUAGCUAAAGUUGAAAUGUUGCAGUCUUUGAAGAUAACUUUACAAGAGAGAAGCACUUCAUAAAGUCGCUAUAGUUUAUGUCCUCGAGGUAGAAACUAAGAAAUGAAAUUGCGUAUAGGACAGUGUAGGUAUCUUGCAGAGCACUUUGAAGGCUACAUUCUGCAUUUUUAAUUCAACAAGUGAGAUUUGGUGGAUAAUGAGCAACUAACUUUCACAGGGGGCCAAGGGCCAAUACGUGUACAGGUGUGGUAAAGUGCAGGAAGCCCCUUAUACAAUGGGGAUAUACAGAAAAGGGGACUAUACACAUCUAACCCCCCCCCCCCCUCAAACUCAUGGUGGAUCAACAACACUGAGUUUGGAGAGAAAGAACCCAUGCUGCGCUCGAGUCUGUGCCUUCGUGAAGAAGUCGGCCAACUGUAACUCAGAGGGCACAUAGUGAAGACCGAGAAUCUGAUCCUGCACAGCAGCACGCACAAAGGAGUCAUCUACACCGAUGUGCUUGGUGAGCUCAUGCUUCACCAGGUCAUGCGCAAUACUGAUAGCACAUGUACUGUCUGACAAUAAGGGAGUCGGUGUAGUAGCAGACACACCAAUCCUCAAGUAACCAUCGUAACCAGAUCACCUCAGUCGUCAACAUAGCUCGCUCGCAACUCAGCCUCUGUACUCAAGCGAGAAACUGCAGUCAGUUUCUUUGUCUUCCAGGCAAUGAGAGAGCCACCAAGAAAUACACAGUAAGCAGAUAGCGAGCGUCGAUCAGAGGGAUCACUAGCCCACGUAGCAUCAAAGUAGGCCUAGAGCUGGAGAGAGCUGGAGCGGGGAAAGAAAAGGUGGUGAGAGAUCAUGCCACGAAGAUAUCAUAGAACACGGAGGAGGUGACUAUAGUGGACAGAGGUGGGGCUGAAACGAACUGACUGAGAAUGUGGACAGGAUAGGAUAUGUCAGGACGAGUAACAACUAGAUAGACAAGGCUCCCAACGAGGUGGCGACAGCGAGUGAAAUUAGGAAGAGGAUCACCGUCAGAGGCACGAAGCUGAACAUUGAGCUCCAUAGGAGUCACAACAGUGCGCUCAUCACUAAGAGCGGCUCGAGCAAGAAAAUCCUGAAUAUAUUUUUCCUGGGAGAUGAAGAAGCCAUAAGAGGUCGAAGAAACCUCAAUCCCAAGAAAAUAGCGAAGUGGACCAAGAUCAGAUAUGAGGAACUGGUCGCGAAGGUAGGCCUUAACAAAGGCAACGUAGUCAGAGUCGUUGCGGUGAUGAUCAUGUCAUCGACAUAUAGAAGGAGAAGAGUCCGACCACGAGGAGACGUGUGAACAAACAAAGCGGGAUCAUGAUCACUGGGCGAGAAGCCAGCGACGGUCACCACAGAGGCGAACCGCUCGAACCAGGCGCGAGGGGCCUAUUUAAGACCAUAGAGGGAGCGUCGAAGUCGGCAGACCAUACCAUCAGGAACAUAGUACCCCGGUGGUGGCUGCAUAUAAACCUCCUCACGCAACUCACCAUUGAGAAAGGCGUUCUGACCGUCAAGCUAACACAACAAGGAGAGUGCCACAUGAGCGAAUGUUUCAUCAUAAUCGCGGCCCUGCUCCUGCUGAAAGCCACGAGCCACAAGACGGGCUUUAUAACGCUCAGGAGAACCAUCGGAGCGAGUCUUAAUCUUAUAGACCCACUUGCACGUGAUGGGACGAACAUCGGAAGGAAGGGAAGCCAGAUCCCACGUGCCAGAGCGCUCAAGGGCAGCAAUCUCCUCGGCCAUCGCAAGCUGCCAUUCAGGCUGAGUCAUGGCAGUCCGAUAGGAAGUGGGCUCAGCAACAACAGAGAGACCGUACCGGUCAGGAGAAUAGCGAUCAGGUGGGAGGUGUCGGGGAUAUACCCCGCGGUGUAAACCGGCCGGAAGUUAACCCGGCCGGACUUGGCGGUUUAUUUGAGGUCCCGCUGGCACUUGGCGAUAUUCAUCUGGUGACCCGCUCAGACUUGGCGAUUUACCAGCAACCCGC